rnacentral:rRNA from 3 species
CUGGAGAUGACGGGGUUGAUAGGCCGGAUCUGGAAGCACGGUAACGUGUGGAGGUGACCGGUACUAAUAGGCCGAGGGCUUGUCCAU